rnacentral:rRNA from 1 species
GGGAGUACGGGGCCAGAGGGUGGGGGAGUUCGUAGGGUGCGAGCGGUAAGCGGAAGUACUGUGCGGAAAGCGUGCGCAGGCGGUUGUGUAAGGCAGAUGUGAAAUCCCCGGGCUCAACCUGGGAACUGCGUUUGAGACUGCACGGGUAGAGUGUGACAGAGGGGGGUAGAAUUCCACGUGUAGCAGUGAAAUGCGUAGAGACGUGGAGGAAUACCGAUGGCGAAGGCAGCCCCCUGGGUUACUACUGACGCUCAUGCACGAAAGCGUGGGGAGCAAACAGGAUUAGAUACCCCAGUAGUC